rnacentral:rRNA from 1 species
AAGAAAAGAGUGGCGAACGGGUGAGUAACACGUGGGUAACCUGCCCAUCAGAAGGGGAUAACACUUGGAAACAGGUGCUAAUACCGUAUAACAAGUAAAACCGCAUGGUUUUACUUUGAAAGGCGCUUUUGCGUCACUGAUGGAUGGACCCGCGGUGCAUUAGCUAGUUGGUGAGGUAACGGCUCACCAAGGCAACGAUGCAUAGCCGACCUGAGAGGGUGAUCGGCCACAUUGGGACUGAGACACGGCCCAAACUCCUACGGGAGGCAGCAGUAGGGAAUCUUCGGCAAUGGACGAAAGUCUGACCGAGCAACGCCGCGUGAGUGAAGAAGGUUUUCGGAUCGUAAAACUCUGUUGUUAGAGAAGAACAAGGAUGAGAGUAAAAAGUUCAUCCCUUGACGGUAUCUAACCAGAAAGCCACGGCUAACUACGUGCCAGCAGCCGCGGUAAUACGUAGGUGGCAAGCGUUGUCCGGAUUUAUUGGGCGUAAAGCGAGCGCAGGCGGUUUCUUAAGUCUGAUGUGAAAGCCCCCGGCUCAACCGGGGAGGGUCAUUGGAAACUGGGAAACUUGAGUGCAGAAGAGGAGAGUGGAAUUCCAUGUGUAGCGGUGAAAUGCGUAGAUAUAUGGAGGAACACCAGUGGCGAAGGCGGCUCUCUGGUCUGUAACUGACGCUGAGGCUCGAAAGCGUGGGGAGCAAACAGGAUUAGAUACCCUGGUAGUCCACGCCGUAAACGAUGAGUGCUAAGUGUUGGAGGGUUUCCGCCCUUCAGUGCUGCAGCUAACGCAUUAAGCACUCCGCCUGGGGAGUACGACCGCAAGGUUGAAACUCAAAGGAAUUGACGGGGGCCCGCACAAGCGGUGGAGCAUGUGGUUUAAUUCGAAGCAACGCGAAGAACCUUACCAGGUCUUGACAUCCUUUGACCACUCUAGAGAUAGAGCUUCCCCUUCGGGGGCAAAGUGACAGGUGGUGCAUGGUUGUCGUCAGCUCGUGUCGUGAGAUGUUGGGUUAAGUCCCGCAACGAGCGCAACCCUUAUUGUUAGUUGCCAUCAUUUAGUUGGGCACUCUAGCGAGACUGCCGGUGACAAACCGGAGGAAGGUGGGGAUGACGUCAAAUCAUCAUGCCCCUUAUGACCUGGGCUACACACGUGCUACAAUGGGAAGUACAACGAGUCGCGAAGUCGCGAGGCUAAGCUAAUCUCUUAAAGCUUCUCUCAGUUCGGAUUGUAGGCUGCAACUCGCCUACAUGAAGCCGGAAUCGCUAGUAAUCGCGGA